UGAAAUGCGCAAUAUAAAACUGCACACGAAUCUUCUUCGCAUAGGUGCGCAUUGUUUCCUUCGGACUCAUACUUUCACCCUGCAUGUGAUGGAGGCCCCAUAGUGCGAAGGUCAUCAGUCAGCGUAACGGGAGUGGAAAAACAGCGGCGUCACCGAAAAACUCGGGCAAGUAUUGAAACGUGGAGACGUGCCAAUUGAACGAGGAGAUUUUUGGCCAUCGGCAAUGUUUUGGCUAAAAUGUGUCGCGGUGUGCGCGGCACUUCUGAGAGUUCAUUGCUACAUCCCGUACUCCAGCAACCGUUGCACAGAAGAACAUGAGGAUAUAUACAUCUUUCCAAAUUACGGUGGCGGCGACCAGCCGAAGCCACCUGAAAUUGGCCACAGCUACAUCGCGAAGUACGAAAUGACCAGCAUCGACUGCCAACCACCCAGCGUGGGUUGAAGAGUACUUUGACUACAAGGGAAAGAGAGCGAAAAUAUUAGCGUCUGUUCUAGGGGUAGAGUUUGUCGACAUCUAUGAUUACGGCAGAGGGACUGUCACGUCGUAUCGACUAUCCAGAGCAGAGAGCAGUGGUUGGAGCUCGAAGAUUGAAGACACCUGCGAGACAGUUGAAAUGACAAAGUUCAAGCCGGCGUUUCCGAUUUUGUCGUACCCUUACUCUAGGAAAGCUAAAUCUGGUCCACAGCCUAUGGCCACGUCCAACCGAGCAUUGAAGUACGGCCCUCCGUACAACUAUACUUACCUGGAGAACUACAUUGGCAAAGAGAACCGAAACAUACAAUCAGACGUUUUCAGAGGCUGCAUAAAUGAGGAACACCUGAAUUAUUCCCUUCGCUCAAACUUCUAUUGGG